AAUAUUGGACAAUGGGCGAAAGCCUGAUCCAGCCAUGCCGCGUGUGUGAAGAAGGUCUUCGGAUUGUAAAGCACUUUAAGUUGGGAGGAAGAGUUGUAGGCUAGUACAUUGCAAUGUUGACGUUACCAACAGAAUAAGCACCGGCUAACUUCGUGCCAGCAGCCGCGGUAAGACAGAGGGUGCAAGCGUUAAUAGGAAUUACUGGGCGUAAAGCACGCGUAGGUGGUUAAGUAAGAAGGAAGUUAAAUCCCCGGGCUUAACCUGGGAACUGCUUUCAUAACUGCUGAGCUGGAGUACGGUAGAGGGUAGUGGAAUUUCCUGUGUAGCGGUGAAAUGCGUAGAUAUAGGAAGGAACACCAGUGGCGAAGGCGACUACCUGGACUGAUACUGACACUGAGGUGCGACAGCGUGGGGAGCAAACAGG
rnacentral:rRNA from 1 species